rnacentral:rRNA from 1 species
AAGCACUUUAUACUGUGAAACUGCGAAUGGCUCAUUAAAUCAGUUAUCGUUUAUUUGAUAGUACCUUACUACAUGGAUACCUGUGGUAAUUCUAGAGCUAAUACAUGCUAAAAACCUCGACUUCGGAAGGGGUGUAUUUAUUAGAUAAAAAACCAAUGCCCUUCGGGGCUCCUUGGUGAUUCAUAAUAACUUAACGAAUCGCAUGGCCUUGCGCCGGCGAUGGUUCAUUCAAAUUUCUGCCCUAUCAACUUUCGAUGGUAGGAUAGUGGCCUACCAUGGUGGCAACGGGUAACGGGGAAUUAGGGUUCGAUUCCGGAGAGGGAGCCUGAGAAACGGCUACCACAUCCAAGGAAGGCAGCAGGCGCGCAAAUUACCCAAUCCCGACACGGGGAGGUAGUGACAAUAAAUACUGAUACGGGGCUCUUUUGGGUCUCGUAAUUGGAAUGAGUACAAUCUAAAUCCCUUAACGAGGAACAAUUGGAGGGCAAGUCUGGUGCCAGCAGCCGCGGUAAUUCCAGCUCCAAUAGCGUAUAUUAAAGUUGUUGCAGUUAAAAAGCUCGUAGUUGAACCUUGGGUCUGGCUGGCCGGUCCGCCUCACCGCGAGUACUGGUCCGGCUGGACCUUUCCUUCUGGGGAACCUCAUGGCCUUCACUGGCUGUGGGGGGAACCAGGACUUUUACUGUGAAAAAAUUAGAGUGUUCAAAGCAGGCCUUUGCUCGAAUACAUUAGCAUGGAAUAAUAGAAUAGGACGUGCGGUUCUAUUUUGUUGGUUUCUAGGACCGCCGUAAUGAUUAAUAGGGAUAGUCGGGGGCGUCAGUAUUCAGCUGUCAGAGGUGAAAUUCUUGGAUUUGCUGAAGACUAACUACUGCGAAAGCAUUCGCCAAGGAUGUUUUCAUUAAUCAGGGAACGAAAGUUAGGGGAUCGAAGACGAUCAGAUACCGUCGUAGUCUUAACCAUAAACUAUGCCGACUAGGGAUCGGGCGGUGUUUCUAUGAUGACCCGCUCGGCACCUUACGAGAAAUCAAAGUUUUUGGGUUCUGGGGGGAGUAUGGUCGCAAGGCUGAAACUUAAAGAAAUUGACGGAAGGGCACCACAAGGCGUGGAGCC